rnacentral:rRNA from 1 species
UACGAAGGGGCUAGCGUUGUUCGGAAUCACUGGGCGUAAAGCGCACGUAGGCGGAUCUUUAAGUCAGGGGUGAAAUCCCAGAGCUCAACUCUGGAACUGCCUUUGAUACUGGGGAUCUCGAGUUCGGGAGAGGUGAGUGGAACUGCGAGUGUAGAGGUGAAAUGCGUAGAUAUCAGGAGGAACACCAGUGGCGAAGGCGGCUCACUGGCCCGGUACUGACGCUGAGGUGCGAAAGCGUGGGGAGCAAACAGG